rnacentral:rRNA from 1 species
AGAAUCAACGCUGGCGGCGUGCCUAACACAUGCAAGUCGCACGAGAAAGGGACUUCGGUCCUGAGUAAAGUGGCGCACGGGUGAGUAACACGUGAAUCAUCUACCUCCGAGUGGGGAAUAACCUAGAGAAAUCUGGGCUAAUACCGCAUAACACUUACGAGUCAAAGCAGCAAUGCGCUUGGAGAGGAGUUCGCGGCAGAUUAGUUAGUUGGCGGGGUAAUGGCCCACCAAGACGAUGAUCUGUAUCCGGCCUGAGAGGGCGCACGGACACACUGGAACUGAAACACGGUCCAGACUCCUACGGAGGCAGCAGUGGGGAAUUUUGCGCAAUGGGGGAAACCCUGACGCAGCAACGCCGCGUGGAGGAUGAAAUAUCUUGGUAUGUAAACUCCUUUCGAUGGGGAAGAUAAUGACGGUACCCAUAGAAGAAGCCCGGCUAACUUCGUGCCAGCAGCCGC